UGCCGUGCUAGAUGGGGAGGUAGCGGUGCCCUGUAACUCGCAAUCCGCUCUAGCGAGAUUGAAUUCCUCUCUAGAGGCUGAUCGUAUUGUUUGGUCUGACUUUUGCACGUAGUGUUGAAGUUUGGGUCCUGCGCAAUGAAUACCCAUGAACCAUGUCAGGUCCGGAAGGAAGCAGCAUUAAGUGGUCUCAUUCAUGUGCCGCGGGGUAGCCUGAGCGGAGCUAACGACAAGAGUAACGCUUAUGUGCGUCAGUCGAAGAGAGGUGCACGGCA
rnacentral:SRP_RNA from 1 species